AGCCCUGGAAACGGGGUCUAAUACCGGAUAACACUGCGGAUCGCAUGGUCUGCGGUUAAAAGCUCCGGCGGUGAAGGAUGAGCCCGCGGCCUAUCAGCUUGUUGGUGAGGUAAUGGCUCACCAAGGCGACGACGGGUAGCCGGCCUGAGAGGGCGACCGGCCACACUGGGACUGAGACACGGCCCAGACUCCUACGGGAGGCAGCAGUGGGGAAUAUUGCACAAUGGGCGAAAGCCUGAUGCAGCGACGCCGCGUGAGGGAUGACGGCCUUCGGGUUGUAAACCUCUUUCAGCAGGGAAGAAGCGAAAGUGACGGUACCUGCAGAAGAAGCGCCGGCUAACUACGUGCCAGCAGCCGCGGUAAUACGUAGGGCGCAAGCGUUGUCCGGAAUUAUUGGGCGUAAAGAGCUCGUAGGCGGCUUGUCACGUCGAUUGUGAAAGCCCGAGGCUUAACCUCGGGUCUGCAGUCGAUACGGGCUAGCUAGAGUGUGGUAGGGGAGAUCGGAAUUCCUGGUGUAGCGGUGAAAUGCGCAGAUAUCAGGAGGAACACCGGUGGCGAAGGCGGAUCUCUGGGCCAUUACUGACGCUGAGGAGCGAAAGCGUGGGGAGCGAACAGGAUUAGAUACCCUGGUAGUCCACGCCGUAAACGGUGGGCACUAGGUGUUGGCGACAUUCCACGUCGUCGGUGCCGCAGCUAACGCAUUAAGUGCCCCGCCUGGGGAGUACGGCCGCAAGGCUAAAACUCAAAGGAAUUGACGGGGGCCCGCACAAGCAGCGGAGCAUGUGGCUUAAUUCGACGCAACGCGAAGAACCUUACCAAGGCUUGACAUACACCGGAAAGCAUCAGAGAUGGUGCCCCCCUUGUGGUCGGUGUACAGGUGGUGCAUGGCUUUGUCGUCAGCUCGUGUCGUGAGAUGUUGGGUUAAGUCCCGCAACGAGCGCAACCCUUGUUCUGUGUUGCCAGCAUGCCCUUCGGGGUGAUGGGGACUCACAGGAGACUGCCGGGGUCAACUCGGAGGAAGGUGGGGACGACGUCAAGUCAUCAUGCCCCUUAUGUCUUGGGCUGCACACGUGCUACAAUGGCAGGUACAAUGAGCUGCGAAACCGUGAGGUAGAGCGAAUCUCAAAAAGCCUGUCUCAGUUCGGAUUGGGGUCUGCAACUCGACCCCAUGAAGUCGGAGUUGCUAGUAAUCGCAGAUCAGCAUUGCUGCGGUGAAUA
rnacentral:rRNA from 1 species